rnacentral:rRNA from 1 species
GACGGGGGGGGCAAGUGUUCUUCGGAAUGACUGGGCGUAAAGGGCACGUAGGCGGUGAAUCGGGUUGAAAGUGAAAGUCGCCAAAAAGUGGCGGAAUGCUCUCGAAACCAAUUCACUUGAGUGAGACAGAGGAGAGUGGAAUUUCGUGUGUAGGGGUGAAAUCCGUAAAUAUACGAAGGAACGCCAAAAAGCGAAGGCAGCUCUCUGGGUCCCUACCG